AGCUCAGAAAAAAAGAAACUAGACUUUAACCUGUGUUGGGUUGGAAUGGGACAGAUUGGUGUGAACGUGAGAAAAACCAGCAAAGGGGAUCACGCACACAGAAAUAUAAAUUGACAUUUGCUGCACUGACCCCUCAGAACAUUCUCUCCUUGGCUGGAAGACAACGUCAGCACUAGAGCUAGAACUGAGGUGGCUGGAGUGGGCUGUUGCACUUCUUCUAACUCCUGUGCAGGAGCCUCUUCAUGCUGCCCCCGUAACCUCCUUCACACCGGCAGCCUACACCUCACUUGACUACCAGAGUGGACUCUUCCAGCAAUUCCAGGGCACCACACUCAUGCUCAUGUUCUUUGGAGCACU